rnacentral:tRNA from 1 species
AUUCAAAUAGCUUAUAUUUAGAGCAUAACACUGAAGAUGUUAGGGAAACUAUUGUAGUUUUUGAAUA